rnacentral:rRNA from 1 species
GACGAACGCUGGCGGCGUGCCUAAUACAUGCAAGUCGAGCGGACUUUCAAGAAGCUUGCUUUUUGAAAGUUAGCGGCGGACGGGUGAAUAACACGUGGGCAACCUGCCUGUAAGACGAGGAUAACUCCGGGAAACCGGGGCUAAUACCGGAUAAUAUCUUUCUUCGCAUGAAGGAAGGUUGAAAGGCGGCGCAAGCUGCCGCUUGCAGAUGUGCCCGCGGCGCAUUAGCUAGUUGGUGAGGUAACGGCUCACCAAGGCGACGAUGCGUAGCCGACCUGAGAGGGUGAUCGGCCACACUGGGACUGAGACACGGCCCAGACUCCUACGGGAGGCAGCAGUAGGGAAUCUUCCGCAAUGGACGAAAGUCUGACGGAGCAACGCCGCGUGAGCGAAGAAGGUCUUCGGAUCGUAAAGCUCUGUUGUCAGGGAAGAACAAGUACCGUUCGAAUAGGGCGGUACCUUGACGGUACCUGACCAGAAAGCCACGGCUAACUACGUGCCAGCCGCCGCGGUAA